UAGAGAGAAAAAAAAAUUAGCAUAUGAUGAAAGAUAGAGUAGUCCAAUUAACCGGAAAAGUGAAAACAGAGGAUUUUUAGGAGUAAAAAGUUAAAGCUAAUAAUUUUGCAAUUACAAUUGGAACAUUGUGGUGUCACUCGUACUCCUCGAAUUUUCCGAUCUUUCUGUAGUUGUCUCGUCUACGUCAACCGUCACCAACGUAGAUUGCACACAAAAAACAAUGGGUUUAGGUUUUGUUGUCGGAUUCCUCGGGCUUCUCAUUCUAUUUCAUGCCGCAUAUUCCACCAUCCAAUACAGGGGUUUGUUGAAGAUUACGGAGGAAGAGUUUUCAGGGCCUCCUUUGAAUGUGGUGAUUGAGGUGACUCUAGGGUUAGUUCUUUGCAUGUGGGCUGCACUAACCGUGCCAGGGAAAUUUUUGUCCAUCCACCCUCACUCUGAAGAGAACAGGAUUGUUUCUUUACCUUCCAACCUGGACUUCAUGAUCUUCAACCAUCGAUACAAAGUCUUUCCUGUGGAAAUGGAUGUGAAGCUGAAGCAUUGAGACCUUUUAUAUAAUCAGACCAAGUAACUUCAUUUCUUAUACGAGGAAGAAAAAUCUUUCCUCAAAAAAUGAAUAAUCUAUUUGUGCAUUUGAUUUUGAUAUCAGUGCUGGUUGAUGUAUGAGUUUUUGCAGAUUUCUUUUGUAGCUUCAUACCUUACAUUUCUGUACUGGGCACCUACCCGUCUUCUUAAUUUUGACGGCAAAAAUGCAGAAGCAAGGGAGGGGAAGCUUUUGGAUGAACGCUGAUUGCGUUUAAUUGAACAUUUAUGCAAACACGUUCAUUAUCAUUUUACUGAGAUGUCUGCGGCACCCAGAAUGGUGCAUCACUUCAAUUUUAUAAUGGUUUGGAAAGCUGUUAUUGCAUUGGAAGCGAGUUUAAAUUAACCA